CACGUAGUUAGCCGGUGCUUAUUCUUCAGGUACCGUCAUUAGGAACAGAUAUUAGCCACUCCCGUUUCUUCCCUGACAAAAGAGCUUUACAACCCGAAGGCCUUCUUCACUCACGCGGCAUUGCUGGAUCAGGCUUGCGCCCAUUGUCCAAAAUUCCCCACUGCUGCCUCCCGUAGGAGUCUGGACCGUGUCUCAGUUCCAGUGUGGCUGGUCGUCCUCUCAGACCAGCUACUGAUCGAUGCCUUGGUAGGCCUUUACCCCACCAACUAGCUAAUCAGAUAUCGGCCGCUCCAGGAGCACAAGGCCCGAAGGUCCCCUGCUUUCAUCCAUGGAUCGUAUGCGGUAUUAGCGUAACUUUCGCUACGUUAUCCCCCACUCCAGGGUACGUUCCGAUAUAUUACUCACCCGUUCGCCACUCGCCACCAGAGCAAGCUCCGUGCUGCCGUUCGACUUGCAUGUGUAAGGCAUGCCGCCAGCGUUCAAUCUGAGCCA
rnacentral:rRNA from 1 species